UAACAAAGGAAGAUUUGACAGGGUUAAUAGGGCAUGUCAACUUAUCAACUCGAUUUUGUGCUCUCGGACAGCUUGACAGUGGUUACUUUAAUGACCUGUUGUGGGAGUAACCCGUCCUGUGUUAGUAACCUCGGAUUGCAAGAGACGUGUGUCCGUUCCUGAGUUGGGGGCCAGCUGUUGAGCUGGACGCAUGAAGGGGAUGGCUUCCUCCAGAGCAACUACCCUAAACAACGUUUGGAACUUCCUUGGGGGAAGUUUAGGCAUCCAAGGACACGAAAAAGCAGUAAAAAAUGCCCUUUACAAUGCACUUGCCAUGUUGCUCUUGGUGGUUUGCUGUGCCGCCUUGUAUGCCUUAUUCUUUAUCCUUGACCCAUUCCUGAAACCACUCCUAUGGGCUCUGCUGCUGGGCUCUGUUCUGCACCCGUUUAAGUAUUCUUUAGUUUACUCCGUCAAAAACUGGCUGGAUGUGCUGGAGACAAGAGGAACUCCCAUGGCAGUGGCCUUCGUCAUGAUACCUGUCAGCGCCUUUGACCGAUUCUCAGACAGAAUAGGAGGCCUGCUGUAUAGAAACCUGAAACUCAUUCUCUGUUUGAGUAUUGCUUUGCCUCUUCUUUUAGCCCUCUAUGGGUACACUCCACAGGCUUGUCUGUGUUUGCUGUGGAGAAUGAUCUAUGCACUGUAUGCUGCUAUUAAUUUCAUUGUCAGUCUGUCAAGUGGUACAAUGCUUCUCACCUAUUUUUGUGGAUACGUUUCAACUCUGACACUGUGGUGGAGUCCUGAAAAUUCAAACCGCUUCUCCAUCGGUGCCUAUGUUUUAUGGUGUCUUGGAGCUGGCUACAUUGCUCGUUUUGUUGGCCAGUCUUAUCAAGUGAUAGCAUUUAUUCUGCUUCAGUCGAUUUAUUGCAUGGGUUACUUCUAUGAGAAGUGGUGUGCAAGUGAUUCAUACAAGUCAUCAAAAGAGAGGCACUUAUCCUUGGUGGAAGCUCUAAUGAAAAGUGCUACAAGUAGUGAGCGCACAUCAGAAAUAAUUAUGCCAACCCAGUCUCUUCCAGUAAUACCCACCGACACCAUAAUCAAUGAAUCUACUGACAGAUCCGCGGACUUCAAAGGUGUUAAUGAGAAUGAUGAGCACAUUCCAUCUCCUUCAGAAGUUGACGGCUUGAGCAAACCAAGAAAUCCACUUGAGCUUGACAACCACUUAAAGGUUCAAGCAGCGGCUGCAAUACGACCUACUACACUAAAAAGUGCUCCUCCAGAAAAUGAUAGAAUAACUAGUGAGAACUGCCUGUAUGUGUUGGGAUGGACUAGCUUGGCAGUUUUUAUUUGGAAUCAUUUGUGGCUUCUUCAUUUCCUUCCAGUUACCAUCUUUAUGUACACUAUAAAGCAUCUUGGUCACUAUUUUGGAGUAUGGAGUUGGCUCUCUAGCCAGUAUGAAAUCCUCCAGAACUCUCUGUCUACCUGGAGUUCUACCAGAAAGGAUGCAAUUUGCCCUCCUUUUGUUUCUGGGCUUUUGAAAAUGCAAACUUCUUUGCGCCAACAAAUUCUCCUAUCUCUCAGAGACUCAGUUGAUUCUGCGGCAAGUGUUCUUGUAAUUCUUGCUCUUCUUGUUUUUCUUUUGAGCACUACAAUAUUCAUAACUCUCAAUGUGUAUGCUGAAGGCAUACACUUGGUGCAAGUUGCUGGAAAUGCAAUUAACAACACUUUGAGCCACAACCAGGAAAUCUUGGCUCUUCUUCCUGAGGGAGUUCAAGAAAAACUGCAUCUAGUUUUGGAUAAUGCCUAUUUGUAUGGUCGACAGAGUAUAUCAAGCAUGGUCCAUGCAAUGCUGAAAAAUGCUGAUGCAGACAAAGCAGAACUCCUGGAACAGAGGGUUCUUGAACUGUGGGAUCGCAUUUAUCAAGCUUGGAUGAUGACAUCGUCUGAACUCCCUGGUGCUAUGGGACCCAAAGUAUCAUCAAGUGCUGUAUACGCAAGCUGGGAGAGUUUUUUGGAUGGCGUAAUGAAGACUCCAGAGUUGCUGAAUUUGGAUGGAUUGAUGCAGUUUGGAAAGGAGAAUGUUGGCAUGCUUUCAUCUCUGCUCGAGUCUCUGUGGGAUAUUGUAAGAGGCAAUGUUAGCCUUCUUUUCCAAUCUUCUGUUACAAUUUUCUCUGUUGUUCUUGGAGGAGGGUCUGCUGUAAUAAAUUUCCUCAUCAAUUCGGUUGUAUUUUUCACAGCACUGUUUUAUCUAUUAAGUUCAAGUGGGAGUUUGUACAGACCUGUAGAACUUGUUGCAGGCUUCAGCCCAAGCAGCGGAAAUCAAAUUGCAACAGCAAUUGAUGGUGCUGUUGGUGACGUGUUCCGGGCCUCUUUUAAAAUGGCUGUGUUCCAUGGUUUAUGGGCGUGGUUGAUUCAUACUUUGUUUGGUGUGAAGGUGGUUUAUCUACCUUCUGUUCUAGCUGCUAUAUUAGGGGUUGUGCCAUUCCUUGGCACUUAUUGGGCUUGCAUACCAGCUGUCUUAGAAUUGUGGCUUGCCCAAGGUCAUUCUAUGCUGGCAGUGAUAAUGAUUCUUGCUUUUUAUAUACCGACCUCAUGGGUAAAUGGUUUGGUUUAUGAAGAAAUUAAAGGAGGUCAUCCUUACCUGACUGGCUUGUCGAUAGCAGGAGGAGUCUACUGUAUGGGAAGCGAGGGUGCAAUAUUUGGCCCGCUGCUCCUCUGCUGUGUGUUUGUGGCUCUGAAUAUAUCUUCCACAUUGAUGAAGGAACCUUCCAUCUCUCAUAUGAAUCCUCUGAACAUGCUCAGGUUGAACUUUGAUCGCGCUUCAACUUGAUGGUACAAUUACCUUCUAUCUGGAGUAUGUUUUACUAAAGAUUUAACCAAUUGGCAAAAUGUUCUGACGAUUUUUUCAUUUGUGUCUUGCUCUCUGAAAAUCCAUUUGGAUGGGCUAUUAAAAUGGCUGAAUGGCUGGCUAUGUUGUCCUCCUCCUCUCCGCCGCCGAGACACAUUGAUCUGAUAUGGCAGCUGAAGCUCUGCAUGUUGGGGAAAUCAUUUGGAUCAUCUAGUCGCAGCGAACUGUAGCUUGAAUCAUAUCUCUAGUCAUCUAUAAUAUACAUUUUUAUGCUGCUUUCGUUAACUAUUGAACUGCUAUGAAAUUUUUUGUACUUAAAUUACUUGGAGUGGGGCAGAUGAGUUCCAGAUUUUCAUGUUCUCAGAGAAAUACUAAUCUGUAUUUUAUCCAAGUUUAGAGACUAAAUUGAGCACUAACUGCUUUUUGUUCUAUUUGUAGCUAAUAGUAGUUGCAUCUAUGAAAUUAUGAAUCUCACGGAGUAUUAAUUUAAACAACUCAUCAUAUUCAUUUAUUUUUGUGGGGUAGAAUCAUUUACUGUUAACAUUUGACUUGCAUUUAACUUGAAUCCUGUAACCUUUGCUCAGAAAUGAUUAACAUUCCAUUGUUAUUUGUCGUAGUUCUGCUAGUUGCUGUGAUGUUAAUUCAAGGUUUGCUGGCUAUGGUUGAGUUGGUGCAGGUUUAGUCCAUUUUUGUAGACGGGUCUUUAGUGUGAUGUAUUAGGUGGGUUUGAAACCGAGAAUGACCAAAGCAUUUCUUUGUGGGACCACUUCAUAAUUGUUCAAACCUUCUUUGCGAGAGAGGGACAAUCUGUGAACGCACUGCUUGUUUUGAAUUUUUAUAAAUAAAUCUGUGAUUACCUGUA